AAAUACUUCUGGGUGACACUAGGUCAGAAGUACAGUAUGUGUGAUCUCUGGGCAAUAGGCUCUGUUAGAAACAGAGUUACACCUCCCAAACCUCCAUAUGUUGUUCUAUGUAGAUUUUCCUCGCAUUAGAAGUUGGAGGGGGGAGAGAGGGUGUAGGUAUAGGAACCUCUAGGGCAUAUAAAAGGGUUUGACAGCUGUGGUAUAUAU